CUACAUAACAGGAAGUGGAGCCGUGAUCUUUUUAUUUGCAUAAACAUAGGAAACAACUUGAAGACUAAGUCAUAUUGAACUAUGGUUGAGCAUAGUCUCAUCAAUACUCCGGCCUGUCGGAAAGAACCUUGUCCUCAAGGUUCGUGUUGAAUAGGGAAAGCUUGACUUGAAUUGCUUCUCGUCCUUUCAUGUGGUUUCCUCGAGUCAUAGAUGUUUUUCAACGAGCCAUCCACCAAGACCAAUGCCAAAUUGUUUCCACGGUUCAUUAUUGGAAAUAAACUUCUUCUUUUUUUUAAAUGACAAAGAAAUGUGAAAUCUUUUUUUUUUUU
rnacentral:lncRNA from 1 species